rnacentral:rRNA from 1 species
AGUCGAACGAACUUCCGUUAAUUGAUUAUGACGUACUUGUACUGAUUGAGAUUUUAACACGAAGUGAGUGGCGAACGGGUGAGUAACACGUGGGUAACCUGCCCAGAAGUAGGGGAUAACACCUGGAAACAGAUGCUAAUACCGUAUAACAGAGAAAACCGCAUGGUUUUCUUUUAAAAGAUGGCUCUGCUAUCACUUCUGGAUGGACCCGCGGCGUAUUAGCUAGUUGGUGAGGUAAAGGCUCACCAAGGCAGUGAUACGUAGCCGACCUGAGAGGGUAAUCGGCCACAUUGGGACUGAGACACGGCCCAGACUCCUACGGGAGGCAGCAGUAGGGAAUCUUCCACAAUGGACGCAAGUCUGAUGGAGCAACGCCGCGUGAGUGAAGAAGGGUUUCGGCUCGUAAAGCUCUGUUGUUAAAGAAGAACGUGGGUAAGAGUAACUGUUUACCCAGUGACGGUAUUUAACCAGAAAGCCACGGCUAACUACGUGCCAGCAGCCGCGGUAAUACGUAGGUGGCAAGCGUUAUCCGGAUUUAUUGGGCGUAAAGCGAGCGCAGGCGGUCUUUUAAGUCUAAUGUGAAAGCCUUCGGCUCAACCGAAGAAGUGCAUUGGAAACUGGGAGACUUGAGUGCAGAAGAGGACAGUGGAACUCCAUGUGUAGCGGUGAAAUGCGUAGAUAUAUGGAAGAACACCAGUGGCGAAGGCGGCUGUCUGGUCUGCAACUGACGCUGAGGCUCGAAAGCAUGGGUAGCGAACAGGAUUAGAUACCCUGGUAGUCCAUGCCGUAAACGAUGAUUACUAAGUGUUGGAGGGUUUCCGCCCUUCAGUGCUGCAGCUAACGCAUUAAGUAAUCCGCCUGGGGAGUACGACCGCAAGGUUGAAACUCAAAAGAAUUGACGGGGGCCCGCACAAGCGGUGGAGCAUGUGGUUUAAUUCGAAGCUACGCGAAGAACCUUACCAGGUCUUGACAUCUUCUGACAGUCUAAGAGAUUAGAGGUUCCCUUCGGGGACAGAAUGACAGGUGGUGCAUGGUUGUCGUCAGCUCGUGUCGUGAGAUGUUGGGUUAAGUCCCGCAACGAGCGCAACCCUUAUUACUAGUUGCCAGCAUUAAGUUGGGCACUCUAGUGAGACUGCCGGUGACAAACCGGAGGAAGGUGGGGACGACGUCAAAUCAUCAUGCCCCUUAUGACCUGGGCUACACACGUGCUACAAUGGAUGGUACAACGAGUCGCGAGACCGCGAGGUUAAGCUAAUCUCUUAAAACCAUUCUCAGUUCGGACUGUAGGCUGCAACUCGCCUACACGAAGUCGGAAUCGCUAGUAAUCGCGGAUCAGCAUGCCGCGGUGAAUACGUUCCCGGGCCUUGUACACACCGCCCGUCACACCAUGAGAGUUUGUAACACCCAAAGCCGGUGGG